GAUGAAGAACGUAGCGAAAUGCGAAAAGUAAUGUGAAUUGCAGAAUUCAGUGAAUCAUCGAAUCUUUGAACGCACAUUGCGCCCCUUGGUAUCCCGAGGGGCAUGCCUGUUCGAGCGUCAUUUCACCACUCAAGCCUGGCUUGGUGUUGGGCGACGUCCUCUUUGGGGACGCGCCUCGAAACGCUCGGCGGCGUGGCACCGGCUUUAAGCGUAGCAGAAUCUUUCGCUUUGGAAGUCGGGGCCCCGUCUGCCGGAAGACCUGCUCGCAAGGUUGACCUCGGAUCAGGCAGGGAUACCCGCUGAACUUAAGCAUAUCAAUAAGCGGAGGA
rnacentral:misc_RNA from 1 species